CUCAGUCUAUAAAUAGACCAGACGCUCAGUUAUUAGUAUUAUCCAUCUCUCUCAUCUUCCCUUGUGUUUCUCUGUAAAUUCUUCAAGUUCAAAGACAUGGUCAAAGACAUGGGCACUGAAGCUCCUACUGGUGCAGAUUAUACCCAUAAACCUACUGAUGAACAACUAGCAAAGCAAAAGGCAAUUGAUGAGUGGCUUCCCAUUACUUCUUCAAGGAAUGCAAAAUGGUGGUACUCAGCUUUUCACAAUGUUACUGCCAUGGUUGGAGCUGGUGUCCUCAGUCUUCCUUAUGCCAUGUCAGAACUCGGAUGGGGUCCUGGUGUUGCUGUUCUAGUUAUAUCAUGGGUGAUUACACUCUACACUCUAUGGCAAAUGGUGGAGAUGCAUGAAAUGGUUCCAGGGAAAAGAUUUGACAGAUAUCAUGAACUUGGUCAAUAUGCCUUUGGUGAAAAGCUUGGUCUCUACAUUGUGGUUCCUCAGCAACUCAUUGUUGAAGUUGGCGUAUGCAUUGUCUACAUGGUUACUGGUGGCAAAUCAUUGAAGAAGUUUCAUGAUCUUGUAUGCAGUACCUGCAAACCGAUCAAGCAAACUUAUUUCAUAAUGAUCUUUGCUUCUGUUCACUUUGUACUCUCCCAUCUUCCCAAUUUCAACUCCAUCUCCGGCGUCUCUCUGGCGGCUGCUGUCAUGUCCUUGAGUUACUCAACAAUUGCUUGGACAGCUUCUGUCCAUAAGGGUGUUCAGCCUGAUGUUCAAUAUGGUUACAAAGCUAAGAGCUCUGCUGGGACAGUGUUCAACUUCCUCAGUGCCUUAGGAGACGUGGCCUUUGCCUAUGCGGGACACAAUGUUGUGUUGGAGAUUCAAGCAACAAUCCCAUCAACUCCUGAGAAGCCAUCGAAAGGACCCAUGUGGAGAGGAGUGGUCGUUGCCUACAUAGUUGUCGCCUUGUGUUACUUCCCAGUUGCUCUCGUUGGCUACUGGAUGUAUGGCAACGAGGUUGAAGACAACAUCCUCAUCUCAUUGCAGAAACCUGUAUGGCUCAUUGCAAUGGCUAACUUGUUCGUUGUGGUUCACGUUAUUGGAAGCUACCAGAUUUAUGCAAUGCCAGUGUUUGACAUGAUAGAAACUGUACUGGUAAAGAAAUUGCAUUUCAAACCCAGUAUGAUUCUUCGUUUCAUUGUACGCAACCUUUAUGUGGUAAAUUGGUAUCUUAUGCUCAGCGACCAACGGUCUUCAAAUCUUACUCGGUUCAUCUUUUCAAAUGAUUUCAAGUGGAGUUUUGAGCUUGGAUUUACCAUUUUUUGCUUUUACUUGCAGGACUCACCAUGUUCGUUGCCAUUACCUUCCCUUUCUUUGGUGGUCUCCUUUCAUUUUUUGGCGGAUUUGCUUUCGCCCCAACAACAUAUUUCCUUCCCUGCGUAAUGUGGCUGGCCAUCUACAAACCAAAAAAGUUCGGCUUAUCUUGGUGGACGAACUGGAUCUGCAUUGUGCUUGGUCUUCUGUUAAUGAUUUUGUCUCCCAUUGGAGGAUUGAGGCAAAUAAUAAUUCAAGCUAAGACCUACAAGUUCUACUCUUGAUCGUCUUCCUCGAUCAAUAUGAAUCGGAUUGCAACAGAAGUUGAAUUUCAACUAAAGAAAACCAGGACAAAGUUGAAAUAGUUGCUGUGUAGCAAUUAUCCGAAUCCUGACAGGUUGUGUUCAGACCAUAUACAAGCCUCAGAAGGAAUAGAAAUAUACUUUUUUAUAAACUAGUUGUGAUGUAUAUUUUGGUCUUUCUUGGUUUGGCCAGUGAAAUGAAUUUCUCAACUCCUCCCUCUUGUUUUUAUAUUGAAAUGAAUACAAAACAAACAUAUUUCCUCA